rnacentral:rRNA from 1 species
AUUGAACGCUGGCGGCAGGCUUAACACAUGCAAGUCGAGCGGAGCGGCGGACGGGUGAGUAAUGCCUAGGUAUCUGACUGGUCGUCGGGGUUAACGUAAGGAUACGGGCCCUAAUCUCGUAUACUAUCAGAUGAGGCUAUGGCGGCUUAGCUAGUUGGCGGGGUAAAGGCCUACCAAGGCGACGAUCCGUCACUGGUCUGCGAGGAUGAUCAGUCACACUGGAACGUAGACACGGUCCAGACGCCUAGGGGCGGCAGCAGGGGGGAAUAUGGGACAAUGGGCGAAAGCCUGAUCCAGCCAUGCCGCGUGGGUGAAGAAGGGCUUCGGAUUUUAAAGCACUUUAAGUUGGGAGGCGUUACCAGCAGAAUAAGCACCGGCUAACUACGUGCCAGCAGCCGCGGUAAUAC